rnacentral:rRNA from 1 species
GCCUCUAUACUCGUGCAGUCGAGAGGUACACGAUGUGAGCCGCUACCUGCCCGGAGCUACUAUAAAGGAGUGGAUUAUCUUCGCGUGAGUCCCGAAUGCGGGGCUAUUUGUCGCUAAUGUAAAUACGCUCCGAUUUCAACUUCGGGGGAGAGGUGGCCUCUGCUUGCAAGCUACUGCUCAUGGAUGAGUCCGCGUCCCAUUAGCUAGGUGGUGGGGUUACGUCCCACCAAGGCGACCAUGGGUAGCCUGACUGAGAUGAUGACCGGCACACUGCUAGUGGAAGACGCUCUAUACUCCUACAGGAGGCAGCAGUGUAGAUAUUGCGCAAUGGCGAUCGCAUGAGCAAUGAUGCGUGUGAGCGAUGUACGUCUCGAUCAUAUACUCCUGAGCGAGCAGAGCUGCAGUAUACAGUAGCGUGUGAUGCACUAGAGGGAGUCUGUAUAUUCUGCGACAGCAGAUAUACAGAGAGUGCGCGAGUUCCAGAUAUCAGAGCUCAGCGCAUGUGCGCUCUCUCAGUCAUGUGAAUCACUGUUCGACGUCUACUGCGCUACACUUACAGCUAGCUGAGAGGCUGAGUCAGCUCGAUGAUCGUGAGAUCUGAGAUACGUGUGAGCGCUCUGACAGAUGCCUAGGCGAACUUGGAGCGACGAUAGAACGUGUAGUCAGACGUACAGUCAUAGAGUGGACUAGACUGCUCAGAUAACUGUAGAUCCAUCUGGGCGCGGGCAGUAAUUCAUUAUACGGGCUGCAGCCUGAGAUUGUAUUCAUGAAGGGAAUUACC